GAUGAACGCUAGCGGCAGGCCUAAUACAUGCAAGUCGAACGGGAUCCAGAUCAAAGCUUGCUUUGGUUUGGUGAGAGUGGCGCACGGGUGCGUAACGCGUGAGCAACCUACCCUUGUCAGGGGGAUAGCCCGGCGAAAGUCGGAUUAAUACCGCAUGACAUCGUUGAGAGGCAUCUUUCGAUGAUCAAAGAUUUAUCGGACAAGGAUGGGCUCGCGUGACAUUAGCUAGUUGGUAAGGUAACGGCUUACCAAGGCUACGAUGUCUAGGGGCUCUGAGAGGAGAAUCCCCCACACUGGUACUGAGACACGGACCAGACUCCUACGGGAGGCAGCAGUAAGGAAUAUUGGUCAAUGAACGGAAGUCUGAACCAGCCAUGCCGCGUGCAGGAAGACGGCCCUAUGGGUUGUAAACUGCUUUUAUACGGGAACAAACGUCGGUACGUGUACCGGUCUGAGUGUACCGUAAGAAUAAGGAUCGGCUAACUCCGUG
rnacentral:rRNA from 1 species